rnacentral:rRNA from 1 species
CCUACGGGUGGCAGCAGUGGGGAAUAUUGGGCAAUGGGCGCAAGCCUGACCCAGCAACGCCGCGUGAAGGAAGAAGGCUUUCGGGUUGUAAACUUCUUUUCUGAGGGACGAGGAAAGUGACGGUACCUCAGGAAUAAGCCACGGCUACAUACUUGCCAGCAGCCGCGUAAAUACGUAGGUGGCAAGCGUUAUCCGGAUUUAUUGGGUGUAAAGGGCGUGGAGGCGGGAAAGCAAGUCAGAUGUGAAAACUCAGGGCUCAACCCCGAGCCUGCAUUUGAAACUGUUUUUCUUGAGUGCUGGAGAGGCAAGCGGAAUUCCGGGUGUAGCGGUGAAAUGCGUAGAUAUACGGAGGAACACCAGUGGCGAAGGCGGAUUGCUGGACAGUAACUGACGCUGAGGCGCGAAAGCGUGGGGAGCAAACAGGAUUAGAUACCCUUGUAGUC